AGCCCUUGACAUCCCGGUCGCGGUUACCAGAAAUGGUUUCCUUCAGUUCGGCUGGACCGGUGACAGGUGCUGCAUGGCUGUCGUCAGCUCGUGUCGUGAGAUGUUGGGUUAAGUCCCGCAACGAGCGCAACCCUCGCCCUUAGUUGCCAUCAUUCAGUUGGGCACUCUAAGGGGACUGCCGGUGAUAAGCCGAGAGGAAGGUGGGGAUGACGUCAAGUCCUCAUGGCCCUUACGGGCUGGG
rnacentral:rRNA from 1 species